rnacentral:lncRNA from 1 species
ACGCUCGUAAGUUCAAAUUCUACGCCGGUAACGGGCGGGGAGGGGGGGCAUUGUUUAUUUGACAACUUUCUCUCCCCCUCUGUGUCUGCGCGGCAUCGUUCUCUCUCGCUCUAUUGCUCCUCCCAAGAUCCGAGCGGAGCCAGUUCCAGUAACAGACUGACCUUUUUAAAAAACAGAUUGGCCAUCGGUAUCCCGUCUCAGCUUCGGUACGAUUUACCCCUGUUUAUUUUUCGGUCCCUUAAAAUUCGGUCGCUCGUGAAGUUUGGACGACGUGUGACGUUUUUUCGUCAUCAUCCUCAUCUCUGGAAGGUGCUCCAGAGUAAAUUUUUAGAAAUUAAAAUGACCUCUACGAUUCUAUUGCUGCUUUUAGCGUGCGUCACGAUCUGCGUCAAAUCAUCGCCUCUCCCUCAAACAAGCACAGAGGGAGGGAAUAAGAAGUCGCCUUCAGGUUAGUAAAGUUUGAUUUUAUUACAACUACCUUAGAAUUGUUUUACGUUGCUAUUUGCAUAUGAUAUUGUCACAUUUUAAAAACUCUUCAAGAACUACAUUAUAUGCCAAACAUCCUCCAAAAUCAAGUACCUUCAUGGUAGUCUAUGCUUGGAGGUAGACGUUUGAUAGAAAGUCAUUGUAAUGUUGUCGAAGUGUUAGGUUUCGUAGGUAACGCUAAAAAAAUGUUUUUCUUCCUUUUUUUUACAUCAAUCCAUUAUCUGAAAAAACGAACAUGUGCACAUAAUAGUCUGUUUCUAAGAUUGGAACUCAAUAAAUAAGUGUCGUAUCUGUCACUCAAGAGGAAUGCGACGAGAUAACCUCGAUCCUUGUAUAUUCCACCAUACCUAAUGAAGAGGUUCCUCUAACCUAUAUGUCACCGGCGAACAGCUGCGGCCGGUCCAAAGACAUAAAGACGGAGUGCUAAAAGCAAAAAAUGAAGCUUCUUUUCAACCACCUCUACUAUUGGCUAGAGGAUUGGCGGAAAAAUCGGGACAAGUUUGAAAUUCAAAUGUAGGGCGGGAACUAAAUAAAAUUGCGAAAACAAAGUAUUCUAGGUUGAUUUUUGCGCAAAUUCACUUACCCACUCAUAUUUUCGUAACUUUAGGUUAGUUUUGGUCCGUCGUCGACCGAUUAAUUUCAUUUGGGAGUAACGGUCAUCUAGGACUGUAACGGCCGGUCCGGCCUCACCAUGCGCAGAAGAAAAACUAACUUUAUUUGAAAUUACUGCCUGUUACGGAGAAAAAGUAAGUGUAUUAUACUAGGUCGCAGUCCCAACUUUCUUAAUAUAUUCGUUUUAGGCAUUUAAAAUACGUUUAGAAGAAGAAAUGUGGAAAAAUCAAGAGGACAAGUUCAAAUCAAAUUUCCGUUUGCCGCCAUGGAUUCCCGCGCUCAUGUACACACUCACACAAGCACCCAGAGCCAAACCAGGCUUCACUUUUUCCCCGUGCUUUUAGAUACGAGCACUCCGUCUUUAUGUCUUUGGGCCGGUCGGCGCUAUAACAGCACCCCCCCCCCCUCCCUCAACCCGUAAAAUG